rnacentral:lncRNA from 1 species
GUACUGACUGUUGUAAUAUCUGCCAUUUGCUCAUCAGUUGUGCUAAUCAUUACUCGUGUUUGCUGAACUACCUUGAAUGCUAUUUGACCGACGUGACAUUUUCAACUAUUCAUAGCUAAAUGAGUCCUAGACCUCUGAACCCUAGAAUAAACCAUGACAAGCCUCAUAGCGCUGACAAUAGAAGUGGAGAUAACGCGUGAGGUCAAUUUCUGUGGGCACACACACAUCGUCUGCAAAAUAUCAACGGCCAGUAUAGCUUAGAACAUGUGUAAAAUCAAUUUUAAAGUAUGUGCACGCAGCCAACUGCUAAACGUAACACCUCGCUACAUCGACAUCGAGGAAGGAUUGUAAACAAUUGAGAAAACGCUACAUCACAAAUUUUCAUUGGCUGCCAUGCUGCUUGCAUGGGCUGUUCUCAGUUGCCUGUGGGGCGCUCUCCAUGUCGCUUCAACUGCAGUAUUAAGUGCAGGUUUUUGUCAUGUUAAAUACUGUGCAGGCCGCGACAUUUGACGGCAAUUUGUUGUGUCUUGCCAUUGCACGUGGUCAGUGCGAGGGUCUUGAGGUUCGUCUUCGCUGUCGCCAGCCUCAGUAUCCAAGUCACUGCUUUCUAGUGGGUCAAAUCGAAAGUGAUUGGCCACGUCUAAUACGGCGGCAACACCCACCUGCAGGAAAUCGUCGCCACUGGACGACGAAAACAAGGAUAACGACAAUGGUGGCGUGGUCAUAAGACAGAAAGAGAGCGAUUUGGAUCAGAGAGCAAACGGGUAUAGACGGUAUUCUAAUUGACAUCAAGAGUAAAAAAUGGA